UCUGCCGUUCAUUUCUGGUGGCCAUGUUUCUCUGGUGGGGGCAGGUUGAAGGUGCCAGUUAAUAUACUGCGCGACACAGCGGCCUUUGAUUCCUUCAUUCAGGCUUCUGUGUUGCCUUUUUCCGCUGAGACUCACACAGGUUGUUGGGUGCCUGUUGUAGGUAUGGAAAUGAAUGUUUUGCAAGUCCCUCUGCACAAAAUCACAUUACACUCUGAUCUCUUCCAAGGCGAGAUAGCUGUGGGUGUGAGGCCGGCGCUGCCUGUUGAGGGGGUCACUCUGAUCCUAGGGAACGGUGCUGCAGGUGAGCGUGUGUGGGGUGAUGUGGCCCCGUCUCCAGUGGUUUCCUCAGUUCCCCUGGUGAGGAAGCAGCCUGAUGAGGAUGAAAUAAGUUUCCCCGAAGUGUUCACAGCGUGUGCGGUGACGCGGUCUAUGUCCCAACAUUCUCCACCAGAGCCGCCUGAGUGUGGCGUGGGUGAUGGUGAGGCAGUAGAUGGGUUGUGUUUCUCCCUGUCUGAUGUUUCCCUUUCAGUUACGCAGGAAGAGUUGGAGAGUGAGCAGCGAGCCGACGCGUCCCUGAAGGGACUGUUUGACAUGGUGUUGCCUGCGUCGGAGGGGAUCCCGUCCUCCAGAUUGUCCUGCCUUCGAAGCUCCGGGAGACGGUGCUUCGCCGGGCCCAUGAUGACUCGGGUCACUGGGGGUCGGUGCCUGCCGGGGUGGAGGAUGGUCUGCCCGACGCUGAUGCUGGGGUGCAGCAAGGUCGUUUAAAAAACUCUGAGUCCUUGAACAAAUUACAUCUUCUGUUGGGCCAUCUGUCUGAGUCACAACAAGCCGACCUAGUUGAAGUGAUAAGUUCCUUCCCAUCUCUGUUUGGUGACACUCCUACUCAAACAAAUGUAAUUGAACAUGAUAUAGAUUUGGGCAUCUCCCUGCAUUUUAGUGCGAAGCCAGACAAAACAUUCAGGUUCUGCACUGAUUUUCGCAAGCUAAAUGCUGUAACGAAACCAGA
ensembl:lncRNA